GACGUAGGGGGGCGAGCGUUGUUCGGAUUCACUGGGCGUAAAGGGUGCGCAGGUGGCUUGGCAAGUUUGAUGUGAAAGCUCAGGGCUUAACCCUGAAAUGGCAUUGAAUACUGUUGAGCUGGAGGUUUGGAGGGGGGACUGGAAUUCUUGGUGUAGCAGUGAAAUGCGUAGAUAUCAAGAGGAACACCAGUGGCGAAGGCGAGUCCCUGGACAACACCUGACACUGAGGCACGAAAGCUAGGGGAGCAAACAGG
rnacentral:rRNA from 1 species